AAUGCGCCUGCGCAUGUGGUUCCGAGCUCAAUGCAUCCUGGGAAUUGUAGUUUGAGAUUCAUACGGCGCAGGCGCAGUUUCAAGUGGCUGAGACCAGACCUUCCGUGGGACAGAAGGACCACUGUUUGAUGAGGAAACUGAGGCAGAGCGCUAGGUGACUACCCAGGGACAUCCAGCAGUAUCCGGGGCGGGAUUCGAACUCAGGACCUUAGGGCCUCCUUGGCCGACCCCUAACCCAGACCGACCUUCUCGGCUCCUGCUGACCCCCGGAGUGGGAAGGUUCCCCCGGAGGAUGCUGAGUAGGGAGAGAACAGGCUUCGAGUCAUGUCAGCUUCAUCAUUCGCAUUCCUCCAGAUUACAUCGAUGUCCAUAUAUACGAGUUUUCUUGGUUCUGCUCAUUUCACUCCUCAUUUUGCCCUUUGAGCCCUUCCAUGACUUCCUAAAGUCUCCCUGCUCAUCAUUUCAUCCAACACAGUAAAUAGGGCCACAAUAACCCUAUUGCGUCCAGCCAUUCCCAAGUAACAGGAGUCUCCUGGAUUUCCUGUUCUUUGCUACCACAAAGAGCCGCUGUAAAUAUUUUAGAAUACAUAUACAUAUAUAUUUAGAAUAAAUAUUUUAGAAUAGGUUCUUUUCCUCUGGUAUUCUUAGGAAACAGACCUAAUAAUAGCAUUGCUCCUUCAAAAGGUACCUCUGUUUGCUCUUUGGACAUGAUUCCAGAACACUCUCCAAAUUGGUUAAAAAUCAGUUCAUAGUUCCACCUACAGUAUAUUAAGUUAGAUAAAAAAACAAAAUGCAAGUAAUAGCAAGGACAAAUAACAAAAGCUUGGCUCAGCCCUGAAAAAAUGGUCUCCGGAGUAAAUGAGCUAAAUCUGAAGAGGGGAAAAAUCCCUUUGUACAAUUUCACUGAACAAUCUUCUCAGCUCCCAUAGUUUCCAUGAUUGUCUUUGCUGAGGAUUCUUUUAUAACUAAGCUCCAGACUUCAUUAGGAUGUUCUAUAGACAUCACAAACUCAAUAAAAAACUCACUUGUCUACCCCACCCACCCAACACCUUCCCCCUCCUGAAUUCCCUGUUACUGCCCAGAGGACCACAUUUUCUCAGUCACCUAGGCUCACAACCCAGGAGUGAUGCUUAAUAACUCCUUACUCUUCCCAAUACCUUUCCCCAUUCAGUCUGUGGCCAAAUUCUUUUUAUUUCACUAUUGUAUCUGACGCUGUCCCCACUCUAGUGCAGGCACUCAUUAUCUCACAUGGACUAUUGUAAUAACCUGCUGGUUGUUCUACUUCCCUUACAUAUCUCUCCAAUCUGCCCUCUAUUCAGUUACCAAAUAGCUCUUCCUAAGGCACAUGACUCCCUGUCACUGCAAUGAUUAAGUAUAAAAUCCUGUUGGACUUUCAAAGCCUUUCAACUUUUCCAGUCUAACACUACUCUCCUUACUUAGCUGCUCAGUGAUACUGACCCUGCUAUUCAUCAAGAGUCUGUUUCCCAACUUUAGACUGACUGUCACUGUCUCCCCUGUUGUUCUUUAUCCCAAUUUACCAGAAUAUCUGGUGUCUCCCACCAUCCUGUCAGAACCGGACUGAUAGUCCAUUUGCACUCUCAAUGUUCUGAAACUCCGUCCCUGCCUUGGUCUAUCCCUGUAGCUGAACCAUGUGUGUAUAUGUCAUUGAGAACUUGCAUUUGGUACUGGAUACUUUGAGAUGAGAGUUCUGUCCAUUCCAUCAAUUAAGCUCUUCAAGCUCUAUCUUGCCUCAGUUUCUCCAGCAUUACGAUUCCACUAAAGAUCUUGAUUAAUGUCAAGACAAAAGUCAUCAAUAAAACUUUUUUAAAAGAC